AUGAAGAAGGACGAUGAGAUGGAUACCUUGGAGCAAACCGGCCCUUCAUCCAACCAGGCAUCAUCCAGCUCUGCAGUUGCUAAUGAUGUUCAUAUCUCACAUGUUCAUGGACAUGGCCUGUUUGGCGUUGCUUCUCCAAUGACGCCGGGUACUGGUUCUAUAGUCAAGGUGGUGACUCCUUUUAAUCAGAACCCGCAGACUCCUCGAGGCAUUCAGCUCAGCUUUGUGCGGUUGUCUUGUACGAUUACCGGAGGCGCGGCUUCACAAGGUAUCGUCAGACAUGUCUCACAGGCCAGUGCAGCUACACGUUAA
rnacentral:rRNA from 1 species